GGGAUAGAAGGGUGCGCGGUGGACGCUGAGACUCACCAACAGAAAUUUAAAUUGUCAAGAAGGGGAGGUAGAAAGGUGCGCGGUGGACGCUGAAACUCACCAACAGGAAAUUAAAUUGAUGCGCGGAGGGACGCGAUUACGCUCCAACAGAAAAUUAAAUUUGUCAAGAAGGGGGAUAGAAGGGUGCGCGGUGGACGCUGAGACUCACCAACAUGAAUUUAAAUUGAUGCGCGGAGGGACGCGAUGGACGCUGAGACUCACCAACAGGAAAUUAAAUUGAUGCGCGGAGGGACGCGAUUACGCUCCAACAGAAAAUUAAAUUUGUCAAGAAGGGGGAUAGAAGGGUGCGCGGUGGACGCUGAGACUCACCAACAGGAAAUUAAAUUGAUGCGCGGAGGGACGCGAUUACGCUCCAACAGAAAAUUAAAUUGUCAAGAAGGGGGAUAGAAGGGUGCGCGGUGGACGUUGAGACUCACCAACAGAAAUUUAAAUUGUCAAGAAGGGGAGGUAGAAGGUGCGCGGUGGACGCUGAGACUCACCAACAGGAAAUUAAAUUGGAUCUUCUUGAUUGAUGAUUUUUUUUUUUUUUUUAAAAAAAAAACAGAUUGGUGGGAUUGACCCGAGCCCAAUUAAACACUGAAAGAAAUGAAAAUGCAAGUUCAAUAUUAUCAAACUGAAUGAUUAAAAUGCACGUUGCUCAAGUUGGUGGAUUUGCAAUCUCUCUUUUUUUUUCCAAAUUUUAGAAGAAAUGAAAGAAACACACCUUUUUUUUUUUUUUUUUUUUUUU
rnacentral:lncRNA from 1 species